CAGCCGCCGCGGUAAUACGUAGGUGGUAAGCGUUGUCCGGAAUUAUUGGGCGUAAAGGGCUCGCAGGCGGUUUCUUAAGUCUGAUGUGAAAGCCCCCGGCUCAACCGGGGAGGGUCAUUGGAAACUGGGAAACUUGAGUGCAGAAGAGGAGAGUGGAAUUCCACGUGUAGCGGUGAAAUGCGUAGAGAUGUGGAGGAACACCAGUGGCGAAGGCGACUCUCUGGUCUGUAACUGACGCUGAGGAGCGAAAGCGUGGGGAGCGAACAGGAUUAGAGACCCCUGUAGUCCCUGUCUCUUAUAC
rnacentral:rRNA from 1 species